CUACGGGAGGCUGCAGUGAGGAAUAUUGCACAAUGGGGGGAACCCUGAUUCCGCAACGCCGCGUGGAGGAGGGCCCCUUUCUUUUUUCAAACUCCUGGGAGAGGGUAAGAAAAUGACGGUAGCAUAUGAAUAAGCACCGGCUAACUCCGUGCCAGCAGCCGCGGUAAUACGGAGGGUGCAAGCGUUACUCGGAAUCACUGGGCGUAAAGGACGCGUAGGCGGGUUGGAAAGUCAGGUGUGAAAUCCUACAGCUUAACUGUAGAACUGCACUUGAAACUUCUAAUCUAGAGUAUGGGAGGGGGAGAUGGAAUUAGUGGUGUAGGGGUAAAAUCCGUAGAUAUCACUAGGAAUACCUAAAGCGAAGGCGAUCUCCUGGAACAUUACUGACGCUAAGGCGUGAAAGCGUGGGGAGCAAACAGGAUUAGAUACCCUAGUAGUC
rnacentral:rRNA from 1 species